GCCAGGCAUGGUGUGCAUGCCUGUAGUCCCAGCUACUCAGAAGGCUGAGGCAGGAGGAUUGCUUGAACCUGGGAGGUUGAGGUGGCAGUGAGCCAUGAUUGUGCCAUUGCACUCCAGCCUGGGCGAUACAGCAAGACUCUGAAUAAUAAUAAUAUAUAUUUUGUUGAGACAGAGUCUCACUUUAUUGCCCAGGCUGGAAUGCAGGGGUGCGAUCUCGGCUCACUGCAACCUCUGCCUCCCAGGUUGAAGCAAUUUUCUGCCUCA
rnacentral:sRNA from 1 species